CUACAGUCCAUGGGGUUGCAAGAGUUGGACAAGACUUAGCGACUAAACCACCACCACUUCUAGCUCUAGCCCAACUAUUAGGGGAUUAAUUCAUAGUCUUAACGUUUGAUUCUUUUUCUCCCUCCUUUGGACCUCGUGGCUUGACUUUCUCUCCUCAUAGGUUUUCCAACAGCAAAGAAUAACAAUCUCAACCACAUGUCAUCCAAGUAAGAAAAUAAUUCUUGGUCUUGACUGAAAGGACACUGAAUUCCCUAUGUACCCGGUAAGGGGAGUGUCUUCUUUGGUGAUCAGUAGACAGGCUGGCCGCUCUGGACACCUCCUCAUCUGUGACCACGGUAGUUACCGUGAGAAGGACAUCUGACCUCUGAUAUGCAGCCAAGAAGGGAAAUCAGAGGCUGGUUCUUCUGAACUGACUCAAAAUGAGUGGGGAGUUUGGAAGAACAGAUUCAACAGGUGCGGUGGGCUGAGCACCUGUUCUCCUUCCCUUGGGACCCAACCUGCCCUUGGAGUGCAUCUGUUCUGCAGUCUUCCUCCCAUGCUGGGGGGGCCUCCAGCACUAUCUACCUUGCCUGGGAGUGGGAGGUGUAACAGAGACUCCGAAGACAGAAAGUUGGGACUCAUUGGGAUCUGACCCAUUGGAAUCAAGACAUAGAGAUAGGCUGUCUCUGUGAGGGCCAUCUUACCCUGACUGCUGUGAUUGACAUGACUGCUCUCCACCAGGCACCUGUGAUGCCAUUCCACGUCCUUGAUGCCCUUGACCCUUCACCUUUGCCUCGUGGGGACAUAUGACCAGAAAGCAAUGGUACUGAAUAUUUACUAGAUGCCUCAGAAGAUCCCUGCUUCAGUCCUUGAGAGUCAACAUGUGGCAAAUCUUGUUCUUUUGUGGGCUGAUUUGACUUUUGGAAACAGUUGCUAAGCUGUUUCUUGCUCCUACAUGAGCUUUGUCGAAUCAUCUUCUCGUAUUCUUUAACCACACUCUGGGCAGAUACCAUGACUUCCUAGUCAUUUGAUUAUUUAAGAGUCCAUUUU